rnacentral:rRNA from 1 species
GAUGAACGCUGGCGGCGUGCUUAACACAUGCAAGUCGAACGGAAAGGCCCAAGCUUGCUUGGGUACUCGAGUGGCGAACGGGUGAGUAACACGUGGGUGAUCUGCCCUGCACUUCGGGAUAAGCCUGGGAAACUGGGUCUAAUACCGGAUAGGACCACUUCUUGGAUGUUGUGGUGGAAAGUUUUUUCGGUGUGGGAUGAGCUCGCGGCCUAUCAGCUUGUUGGUGGGGUAAUGGCCUACCAAGGCGUCGACGGGUAGCCGGCCUGAGAGGGUGUACGGCCACAUUGGGACUGAGAUACGGCCCAGACUCCUACGGGAGGCAGCAGUGGGGAAUAUUGCACAAUGGGCGCAAGCCUGAUGCAGCGACGCCGCGUGGGGGAUGACGGCCUUCGGGUUGUAAACUCCUUUCGCUAGGGACGAAGCGUUUUGUGACGGUACCUGGAGAAGAAGCACCGGCUAACUACAUG